UUGAAGAAAGGUCAGAAGCU
rnacentral:piRNA from 1 species